UACGUAGGGUGCGAGCGUUGUCCGGAAUUAUUGGGCGUAAAGAGCUCGUAGGCGGUGUGUCGCGUCGGCCGUGAAAACCUGCAGCUUAACUGUGGGCUUGCAGUGGAUACGGGCAGACUAGAGGUAGGUAGGGGAGAAUGGAAUUCCUGGUGUAGCGGUGAAAUGCGCAGAUAUCAGGAGGAACACCGGUGGCGAAGGCGGUUCUCUGGGCCUUACCUGACACUGAGGAGCGAAAGCGUGGGGAGCGAACAGG
rnacentral:rRNA from 1 species